rnacentral:rRNA from 1 species
AGCCUGACGCAGCCACGCCGCGUGUAUGAAGAAGGCCUUCGGGUUGUAAAGUACUUUCAGCGGGGAGGAAGGGAAGAGGGUUAAUACCCUUCGUCAUUGACGUUACCCGCAGAAGAAGCACCGGCUAACUCCGUGCCAGCACCGCGGUAAUACA